CGAUGAAGGACGUGCUAAUCUGCGAAAAGCGUCGGUAAGGUGAUAUGAACCGUUAUAACCGGCGAUGUCCGAAUGGGGAAACCCAGUGCAAUUCGUUGCACUAUCGUUAACUGAAUACAUAGGUUAACGAGGCGAACCGGGGGAACUGAAACAUCUAAGUACCCCGAGGAAAAGAAAUCAACCGAGAUUCCCCCAGUAGCGGCGAGCGAACGGGGAGCAGCCCAGAGUCUGAAUCAGCUUGUGUGUUAGUGGAACGGUCUGGAAAGUCCGACGGUACAGGGUGAUAGUCCCGUACACCAAAAUGCACAGGCUGUGAACUCGAAGAGUAGGGCGGGACACGUGGUAUCCUGUCUGAAUAUGGGGGGACCAUCCUCCAAGGCUAAAUACUCCUGACUGACCGAUAGUGAACCAGUACCGUGAGGGAAAGGCGAAAAGAACCCCGGCGAGGGGAGUGAAAAAGAACCUGAAACCGUGUACGUACAAGCAGUGGGAGCACCUUCGGGUGUGACUGCGUACCUUUUGUAUAAUGGGUCAGCGACUUAUAUUCUGUAGCAAGGUUAACCGUAUAGGGGAGCCGCAGGGAAACCGAGUCUUAACUGGGCGUUAAGUUGCAGGGUAUAGACCCGAAACCCGGUGAUCUAGCCAUGGGCAGGUUGAAGGUUGGGUAACACUAACUGGAGGACCGAACCGACUAAUGUUGAAAAAUUAGCGGAUGACUUGUGGCUGGGGGUGAAAGGCCAAUCAAACCGGGAGAUAGCUGGUUCUCCCCGAAAGCUAUUUAGGUAGCGCCUCGUGAACUCAUCUUCGGGGGUAGAGCACUGUUUCGGCUAGGGGGUCAUCCCGACUUACCAACCCGAUGCAAACUACGAAUACCGAAGAAUGUUAUCACGGGAGACACACGGCGGGUGCUAACGUCCGUCGUGAAGAGGGAAACAACCCAGACCGCCAGCUAAGGUCCCAAAGUCAUGGUUAAGUGGGAAACGAUGUGGGAAGGCACAGACAGCCAGGAUGUUGGCUUAGAAGCAGCCAUCAUUUAAAGAAAGCGUAAUAGCUCACUGGUCGAGUCGGCCUGCGCGGAAGAUGUAACGGGGCUAAACCAUGCACCGAAGCUGCGGCAGCGACACUAUGUGUUGUUGGGUAGGGGAGCGUUCUGUAAGCCUGCGAAGGUGACCUGUGAGGG
rnacentral:rRNA from 1 species